GCCCAGGUGGCGAAAUCGGUAGACGCACAGGACUUAAAAUCCUGCGGGCCAAUCACCCAUACCGGUUCGAUUCCGGUCCUGGGCACCA
rnacentral:tRNA from 1 species